AUGUCGGGCGUUUUGCUUUCGGGCAAUUCUGCUUGGUUGGCACGUUGGCUUUGGUUAUAAACCACCUGAGUUACGUAUGAUUACCUGCUGAACUUAAGCAUAUCAGUAAGCAGAGGAAAAGAAACAAACAUGGAUUCCCUUAGUAACGGCGAGUGAAA
rnacentral:rRNA from 1 species